rnacentral:rRNA from 1 species
CGUAAAGUUCUGUCCUUGGGGAAGAAGGGCAUUUUCGGAUGUCUUGACGGUACCCAAGAAGAAAGCCCCGGCUAACUACGUGCCAGCAGCCGCGGUAAUAC